rnacentral:rRNA from 1 species
AUGGCCUCGUGGUCAACCGGCCUCUGCGGCUGCUUCCAUGACAUCGGCGGCUGCUGCCUGACCUUCUUCUGCCCGUGCGUCGCCUUUGGGAGGAUCGCCGAGAUCGUCGACAAGGGGGCCAUGUCAUGCUGUGCGAGCGGGACGCUCUACAUGCUGCUGGCCAUGACGACGGGGAUAGGCACCGGCUUCUACUCCUGCUGCUACCGCGCCAAGCUGCGCGAGGAGCACGGGCUCGCGGAGAAGCCCUGCGGCGACUGCUGCGUCCACUUCUUCUGCGGCCUCUGCGCCCUCUCCCAGGAGUACCGCGAGCUCAAGAACCGCGGCUUCGACAUGAGCGCCGGAUGGGAAGCCAACGCGGAGAGGAUGGGGAAGACCGCCGCGCCCUAUGUGAACCCCGGGAUGACUCGUUAG